GAUGAACGCUGGCGGCGUGCCUAAUACAUGCAAGUCGAGCGAACAGAUGAGGAGCUUGCUCCUCUGACGUUAGCGGCGGACGGGUGAGUAACACGUGGAUAACCUACCUAUAAGACUGGGAUAACUUCGGGAAACCGGAGCUAAUACCGGAUAAUAUAUUGAACCGCAUGGUUCAAUAGUGAAAGACGGAUUUGCUGUCACUUAUAGAUGGAUCCGCGCCGCAUUAGCUAGUUGGUAAGGUAACGGCUUACCAAGGCAACGAUGCGUAGCCGACCUGAGAGGGUGAUCAGCCACACUGGAACUGAGACACGGUCCAGACUCCUACGGGAGGCAGCAGUAGGGAAUCUUCCGCAAUGGGCGAAAGCCUGACGGAGCAACGCCGCGUGAGUGAUGAAGGUCUUCGGAUCGUAAAACUCUGUUAUUAGGGAAGAACAAAUGUGUAAGUAACUAUGCACGUCUUGACGGUACCUAAUCAGAAAGCCACGGCUAACUACGUG
rnacentral:rRNA from 1 species